rnacentral:rRNA from 1 species
UACGAAGGGGGCUAGCGUUGCUCGGAAUGACUGGGCGUAAAGGGUGCGUAGGCGGGUUUUUAAGUCAGAGGUGAAAUCCUGGAGCUCAACUCCAGAACUGCCUUUGAUACUGAAAGUCUUGAGUAUGGGAGAGGUGAGUGGAACUGCGAGUGUAGAGGUGAAAUUCGUAGAUAUUCGCAAGAACACCAGUGGCGAAGGCGGCUCACUGGCCCAUAACUGACGCUGAGGCACGAAAGCGUGGGGAGCAAACAGG